CUUUCCCUCCAGAGUGGAUCCUGAGUACGGCGGAACACGUGAAAUUCCGUCGGAAUCCGGGAGGACCAUCUCCCAAGGCUAAAUACUCCCUAGUGACCGAUAGUGAACCAGUACCGUGAGGGAAAGGUGAAAAGCACCCCGGAAGGGGAGUGAAACAGUUCCUGAAACCGUGUGCCUACAAGUAGUUAGAGCCCGUUAAUGGGUGAUAGCGUGCCUUUUGUAGAAUGAACCGGCGAGUUACGAUUUGUUGCAAGGUUAAGCGGAAAAAGCGGAGCCGUAGCGAAAGCGAGUCUGAAUAGGGCGCAUAAGUAACAGGUCGUAGACCCGAAACCAGGUGAUCUACCCAUGUCCAGGAUGAAGGUAAGGUAAUACUUACUGGAGGUCCGAACCCACGCACGUUGAAAAGUGCGGGGAUGAGGUGUGGGUAGCGGAGAAAUUCCAAUCGAACUUGGAGAUAGCUGGUUCUCUCCGAAAUAGCUUUAGGGCUAGCCUCGAGGUAAAGAGUCAUGGAGGUAGAGCACUGUUUGGACUAGGGGCCCUUCUCGGGUUACCGAAUUCAGAUAAACUCCGAAUGCCAUGUACUUAUACUCGGGAGUCAGACUGCGAGUGAUAAGAUCCGUAGUCGAAAGGGAAACAGCCCAGACCACCAGUUAAGGUCCCCAAAUAUAUGUUAAGUGGAAAAGGAUGUGGGGUUGCUUAGACAACCAGGAUGUUGGCUUAGAAGCAGCCACCAUUGAAAGAGUGCGUAAUAGCUCACUGGUCGAGUGACCCCGCGCCGAAAAUGUACCGGGGCUAAACAUAUUACCGAAACUGUGGAUGAACCUCUUUAGAGGUUCGUGGUAGGAGAGCGUUCUAAGGGCGGUGAAGUCAGACCGGAAGGACUGGUGGAGCGCUUAGAAGUGAGAAUGCCGGUAUGAGUAGCGAAAGAAGGGUGAGAAUCCCUUCCACCGAAUAUCUAAGGUUUCCUGAGGAAGGCUCGUCCGCUCAGGGUUAGUCGGGACCUAAGCCGAGGCCGAUAGGCGUAGGCGAUGGACAACAGGUAGAGAUUCCUGUACCAGUGCUAAUUGUUUAACCGAUGGGGUGACACAGAAGGAUAGGGAAUCGCACGAAUGGAAAUGUGCGUCCAAGCAGUGAGUGUGAGAAGUAGGCAAAUCCGCUUCUCGCGAAGCAUGAGCUGUGAUGGGGAAGGAAAUUAAGUACGGAAGUUCCUGAUUUCACGCUGUCAAGAAAAGCCUCUAGGAAGAGUAGUACUGCCCGUACCGCAAACCGACACAGGUAGAUGAGGAGAGAAUCCUAAGGUGAGCGAGAGAACUCUCGUUAAGGAACUCGGCAAAAUGACCCCGUAACUUCGGGAGAAGGGGUGCUCUAUUAGGGUGCAAGCCCGAGAGAGCCGCAGUGAAUAGGCCCAGGCGACUGUUUAGCAAAAACACAGGUCUCUGCAAAACCGUAAGGUGACGUAUAGGGGCUGACGCCUGCCCGGUGCUGGAAGGUUAAGAGGAGUGCUUAGCUUCGGCGAAGGUACGAAUUGAAGCCCCAGUAAACGGCGGCCGUAACUAUAACGGUCCUAAGGUAGCGAAAUUCCUUGUCGGGUAAGUUCCGACCCGCACGAAAGGCGCAACGAUCUGGGCACUGUCUCAACGAGAGACUCGGUGAAAUUAUAGUACCUGUGAAGAUGCAGGUUACCCGCGACAGGACGGAAAGACCCCGUGGAGCUUUACUGCAACCUGAUAUGGAAUGUUUGUACCGCUUGUACAGGAUAGGUAGGAGCCGAAGAGACGUGUGCGCUAGCAUACGAGGAGGCAAUGGUGGGAUACUACCCUGGCUGUAUGACCAUUCUAACCCGCCACGCUUAGCGCGUGGGGAGACAGUGUCAGGUGGGCAGUUUGACUGGGGCGGUCGCCUCCUAAAGAGUAACGGAGGCGCCCAAAGGUUCCCUCAGAAUGGAUGGAAAUCAUUCGCAGAGUGUAAAGGCACAAGGGAGCUUGACUGCGAGACUGACAAGUCGAGCAGGGACGAAAGUCGGGCUUAGUGAUCCGGUGGUUCCGCAUGGAAGGGCCAUCGCUCAACGGAUAAAAGCUACCCCGGGGAUAACAGGCUUAUCUCCCCCAAGAGUCCACAUCGACGGGGAGGUUUGGCACCUCGAUGUCGGCUCGUCGCAUCCUGGGGCUGUAGUCGGUCCCAAGGGUUGGGCUGUUCGCCCAUUAAAGCGGCACGCGAGCUGGGUUCAGAACGUCGUGAGACAGUUCGGUCCCUAUCCGUCGCGGGCGCAGGAAAUUUGAGAGGAGCUGUCCUUAGUACGAGAGGACCGGGAUGGACACACCGCUGGUGUACCAGUUGUUCCGCCAGGAGCAUCGCUGGGUAGCUAUGUGUGGCAGGGAUAAACGCUGAAAGCAUCUAAGCGUGAAGCCCCCCUCAAGAUGAGAUUUCCCAUUUCUUCGGAAAGUAAGAUCCCUGAAAGAUGAUCAGGUAGAUAGGUUUGGAGUGGAAGUGUAGCGAUACAUGGAGCGGACAAAUACUAAUCGAUCGAGGACUUAACCAAAA
rnacentral:rRNA from 1 species